rnacentral:rRNA from 1 species
UGAGUACGAGAUGCUACGGCAUCGAAGCAGUCUAUGUCAUACUUCCAAGAAAAGCUUGCACUGUCAGAAACAGAUAAUGCCUGUACCAUAUCCGACACAGGUGGGUAGGUAGAGUAUACUAAGGGGCGCGAGAUAACUCUCUCUAAGGAACUCGGCAAAAUGACUCCGUAACUUCGGGAGAAGGAGUGCCUUAUUUUUAAGGUUGCAAUAACAAGAUCCAAGCAACUGUUUACCAAAAACACAGGUCUCCGCUAAGUCGUAAGACGAUGUAUGGGGGCUGACGCCUGCCCAGUGCCAGAAGGUUAAAGAAGUCGGUUAGCAUUCGCGAAGCUGGUAACUGAAGCCCUGGUGAACGGCGGCCGUAACGAUAACGGUCCUAAGGUAGCGAAAUUCCUUGUCGGGUAAGUUCCGACCCGCACGAAAGGCGUAAUGAUUUGGAUACUGUCUCGGAGAGGGGCUCGGUGAAAUAGACUUGUCUGUGAAGAUGCGGACUACCUGCACCUGGACAGAAAGACCCUAUGAAGCUUUACUGUAACUUGAAAUUGAAAUUGGACUUUAUUUGCGCAGUAUAGGUGGGAGGCGUUGAAAAUAUUCUUGCGGGAAUAUUGGAGCCAUCAGUGAGAUACCACUCUUGUAAUGUUAGAUUUCCAACUUUAUAUCAUUAUCUGGUUAAAGAACAGUUUCAGGCGGGCAGUUUGACUGGGGCGGUCGCCUCCCAAAUGGUAACGGAGGCGCGCAAAGGUUUCCUCUGAACGGGUAGAAAUCGUAUCUAGAGUGUAAAGGCAUAAGGAAGCUUGACUGUGAGACCUACAAGUCGAGCAGGGACGAAAGUCGGUCUUAGUGAUCUGACGGUGCUGAGUGGAAAGGCCGUCACUCAACGGAUAAAAGUUACUCUAGGAUAACAGGCUGAUCUCCCCCAAGAGUUCACAUCGACGGGGAGGUUUGGCACCUCGAUGUCGGCUCAUCGCAUCCUGGGGCGGUAGUACGUCCCAAGGGUUGGGCUGUUCGCCCAUGAAAGCGGUACGCGAGCUGGGUUCAGAACGUCGUGAGACAGUUCGGUCCAUAUCCGGUGUAGGCGUUAGAAUAUUGAGAGGAGCCUUCUUUAGUACGAGAGGACCGAGAAGGACAUACCUCUGGUGUACCAGUUAUCGUGCCAACGGUAAACGCUGGGUAGCUAUGUAUGGAGUGGAUAACCGCUGAAAGCAUCUAAGUGGGAAGCCCACCUCAAGAUAAG